rnacentral:rRNA from 1 species
GACGUAGGGGACGAGCGUUGUUCGGAAUUAUUGGGCGUAAAGCGCGUGUAGGCGGCUUUGCAAGUCGGGUGUGAAAGCCCUCAGCUUAACUGAGGAAGUGCGCCCGAAACUGCAGAGCUUGAGUACCGGAGAGGAUGGCGGAAUUCCCCAAGUAGAGGUGAAAUUCGUAGAUAUGGGGAGGAACACCGGUGGCGAAGGCGGCCAUCUGGACGGAUACUGACGCUGAGACGCGAAAGCGUGGGUAGCAAACAGG